AUGCUGAAAGAUGCGUUUCAGUCUGUGGAUGAGGAGUGUAUGAUGAGUGUACAGGAAUUUGUUUCCUGCGUCCUUAACAGAAACAAACCUCCUACUCCCUCUGCCUCAACACCCUACAGACAACUUAAGAGACACCACUCUAUGCAGCCGUUUGAUGAGACAGGCCGCAGGAUCUCGUCUUUGUUGAGCGGUACAAUAGGACUGCGGCUGUUCUCUGGAUUAGAUGAUGGAACAGGACACACAGCUGUAGAUCAGCUGCUGGACACCUGGCUAGAAGAGGGAGUGGAGAACUGCACAGAGAUCCUACAGGCUCUGGAUUUCAGCCUUGAUGGAAAGGUGAAUCUGAGUGAGCUGACAGCAGCUCUGGAGAAUGAGCUGUUGAUCACCAAGAACUCCAUCCACCAGGCGGCACUGGUGAGCUUUAAGGCGGAGAUCAGACACCUGCUUGAGCGUGUGGACCUGGAGCUCAGGGAAAAGGAGAAAAUCCGCUCUGAUCUGGAGAAAGCAGAAAAGCUCAAAUCUCAGUUGGCCUCUGAUGUGGAUGAACAUCACUCUGCCAUUGAACGCAUUAAUGAUCUGAACCUGCGGAAAUUAGAGCAGGAAUAUAAGGACAGAAUGGCUACUCUGAGGGUGGAGCUGAGCAAAGAGGUGGAGCUUGUGAGACUACAAGCCAAUCAGCAGAGUGAAGAACUGGAACAGGAAAUUAGGAGGAUCAGAGAUGAUGAGUCCUUUCUCAGAGAACACCUUACUCUGACUAUUAAGGAGAAUGGCCGCUUGGAAUCAGAGCUGCUGGACAGCACAGAGCGGCUGAUUGAAGCAGAUGCACAGCUGACUAAAUUGCAGAAAAACCUGGACAGUGUGCUCAAAGAGAGGUUUGGAGAUUUGGAUCUGAGCAAUGCAGAAUUUUACCAGCAGGAGGAGCGUCUGAGGCAGCUUCGCAGCAGUUAUGAGGAGCAGUGCCGGGAGCUACAAGAUCGUAUAGAUGAGUUACAGGCACAGUUAGAGGACUGCCGAGCUAUGGGACGGACUCCGCAGCUCUCUCUCAUGCCCUCUCUGUCUGAUGAGUUGGAUAGCAGAAGUCCUGGCAGGGAGUCUGACCAAGGUGUGUGUUCUUUCCUUUUGUUUUUUUUAACUUUCAAUAUACACCGACAUGUCAGAAGUCAUGGGACAGGAGUUGGAAUCAUGAAGGAGUUAGAGACCCACUUCUCACAGAGAAUCAAAGAAGUAGAGGCACGUUUCUCUGGUGACCAGGAAGCGGUGUCUGAGCGUUUUCAGACAGACGUACGAAAGCUGGAGCAGCACUACCAGAGCGAGCUUUCUGUGCUCACCCAGCGGCACGCCGCAGAGCGUGCACAGUGGGAAGAGGAGCUGGAAGCUGCAGUUCAGGAAGCAGAGCAGCAAAGGAAACUCCUACGAGAAGCUCUACAGCUAGAAAGAGAGAAUAUGGUCCAGGAGUUUGCAAAGGAACGAGAGACGCUGGAAAACAGCCAUGCUGCAGAGAUGGAGGCUCUAAGGGAAAAGAACCUAGAGCUGCAGAAUCAACUGGAGAACUUUAUUAGCUCCGCUCAAAUGAAGGAGAUCGAGCUCAGCCGUCAGCUAAAUGAGCUCCACAACCGGCUGCAGGAGAACCUGGAGACAAAGGAUGCGUUGCUAAGUCAUGCUGAAUGCAGGGCUGAGGAACUAGAGCAGCUGCUCAGACAGGCUACUGAGGACUUUGCACAGGAGAGGGCAGAGCUACAGUGCAACCUGUUGGAGUUGGAGGCCCAGCAAACUGAGACACAUUCGUUAGCUGAGAAACAGAUUCAGGAGCGAAGUGAUUUGCUUGCAGAGCGAGAGGAGUUGAAGGGAAAGUUGGAGGAGUUGGAGAAGGUCCUUCGCCAGGCGGUGGAAGACUUUCACUAUGAGCGACUGGAGCUGCAGGGCACUGUAGCUGAGCUGGAAGAGAAACUGAAAGAGAGCGUGUCAUUAAUAAUGGAGAAGGAGGAGCAGAGAGUAGCACUGUUGACCGAGAGGGACAGCUUAGAACUGAAAGUUCAGGAGAUGGAGGCAGAACUUGCAGAAGCUACCAGAGCAAUGGCUGUGGACAGGCAAGUGUUUCAGGAGCUAGGCAUAGGGAUGGAGUUUCUUGCUUCAUCUGCAGAGAAUUUUAUUGCUGUCAGAGAUGCAUGUGAGGAUGAGACCGCAGAUCACCAAUCAGAGGACUUUAGUGUUCUAGGAGCGGAUUCACCAUCUGUACAAGAUGAGGAUCUUGAGGGAGAGUUAACUUUGCAGAAGGAAAAUGCAGGAGACUUUGCAGGAGAAGACGCACAGACUGUUAAUGCUGAGAUGCUGAAAAUAAGUGGUGCUCGGGUUCUAAGCUGUGAUGAGAGUGAUUGUAGAGAUAGCAGUGAGAAAGUAGAAAAGGAGGAGGAUGGCUUUUAUGAGCCAGGUGGUACUUAUACCUUGGGAAGAGCAGAGAGCACAGACAAACUUUCUGUUGGCAAUUUGGAUAAUGAUUAUCAUGAGUGUGUGGUCUCCUGGGAUAGCAUUAGAUCUGUAGAUGUUUCUGAGGAGAUGGUUGACUUGACCAUUCCCAAUCUCGCAGCUGAGGAUGGGGAAGGUUUUGAGGCUGGAGAACCUGUAGAAGAAUUCCCAAGUGUUGAGAUGGAGGUUGCAAGACUUUGCACCUUAUCUGAAGAUGACAAGGUAGAGAUUCCAAGCAACCUCAUAGAUGAAGUGGAGGAGGAAAAAGGUGUAGACAAAAACAGUAAUGCAGUUAUUUGCAAUAGAACAGUGGUGCCAGGUGCUGAAUGUGGCGUCAGGAACAGGAACGUAGGGGAUAACUCUGCGAAUGAUGACAAUGCGGAGAACAUCCCUGAGGUCAAUAGCAUUAGCAUUGGUGAGAUUCUACCUGAGGAAGGGUUGAUUGAGACUGUCGAGAUGGCUUGCACAAGUGAAAAGGAAGAAGUGGAUAAGAUGGCUGAAGAGAAUCCUUUGGACAGUGAUAUUGCCAUUGCUGCAGCAAGCCUAGAUGAAGAUAAUGUAUCCCCAUCUUCAUUUGUGAUCUCUUCUGAGCUAAGUGAAGAUGUCUUGAGUGAAAGGCAGAAUAAAGACUACUUGGAGCCCAUGUUGGAGAAUGCAGAAGUAUUGAGGAUAGUUGAGGAGUGUUCUGAGAUCACUGGUACCCUAGACCUUGAAAAGGAUUCUGAUGAUUCAACCCAGUUGAACACAGUUGAGGAGGAUCAAGGUAAAGAAAAUGAAGCACAAGAGAGUGCAGAGGUUAUCAGCGAUUCUAUGGCAAUGGAUAACGAGCCAAACAAUGUUGAGGUUGCAGACCAAUAUGAUUCCACCACUGCUGAAGAUGAAGCCUCUUGCCACAAGGAGCCCAUACAGGAUCCCAAAGCUAUCGAUCAGGCAGAUAUUCCCAAUGAUCUUGAAUGUCCAGAACUGACUGUAGCUCUUGAGAAUGAAUCCAUGGUAAAAGAAACCAACCAGCAAGAAACUCAUGAGGACCAAAGCAUCUGUGCCAGAGAGAUCCUGGAGUUGCAGGAAAUAGCAGUGCAGUUCAAAGACCAGAGCAGCCUUCUGGAGGUUCUCCAGGACCAGUACAGCAGUGCUGUAGAGCAGAAUCUCUCUCUGCAAGAGCAGCUAAGCCUGCUACAACAGCACACCAAUGAGCUGGAACUGCUGCUGGACCUAAACAGAGGGAAGCUGCAGGAGAGCCAUGAGCUCAGGGUAGAGUUAAUCGCUUUGGCAGCCCAAGCUAAAGAACUGGAGAUCAAAGAGCUGGAGCUCACUGAUCUUCAAAAGAGCUAUGAGGAGUGUGUUUGCGAGAAUUUGCAGUUAGUAGAUCGCAACAGGAAACUGGAGAAAAGGGUGCAGAACCUGGAAAGCAGGAUGAACAUUGUUCAGGAGUUUCAGGAGCAACAGACGUGCUUGCUAGAAGAGAUCGCUCGGAUGCGUGAGGAGAAUGCCAAGUUAAGCAUGGCCGUGCAGGAACUGGAAAAGCAGGACGAGAUGAUGCUGGCUCUGCAGCAGGAUGCCGAAUCUUCCGACUCCUCAGACGACUCCUUUCUCGACUUAGGCUCCCAACUGGAGGCGAAGAUUGCUGCGGUGUCGGAGCUAGAAGACUGCUGCACAGAGUUUGAAAAGCAGAACUCGAGGCUACGCCAUGCACUUGCCAACAUUCAGGAGAAGUCCCUCAGGAUACAUGACAGAAUGCAGGAACAUAGGUAUUGUAAAGUGGGAUGUUGUCGUUGCUAG
rnacentral:lncRNA from 1 species